GCCUAGCCCUAAAUCCUGAUGCUUACCGUACCAAAGCAUCCGCCUGGGAACUACGAGCACAAACGCUUAAAACUCUAAGGACUUGGCGGUGUCCCAAACCCACCUAGAGGAGCCUGUUCUAUAAUCGAUAACCCACGAUUCACCCGACCACCUCUUGCCAGAGCAGCCUACAUACCGCCGUCGCCAGCUCACCUCCCCUGAGAGCCCAACAGUGAGCACAAUAGCCCAACCCACUAACAAGACAGGUCAAGGUAUAGCCCAUGGGGUGGAAGAAAUGGGCUACAUUUUCUACAAUAGAAAACCUACGAAAGAGGGUAUGAAAUAACCCCCGGAAGGCGGAUUUAGCAGUAAAGGGGAACAAUAGGGCCCCCUUUAAGUUGGCCCUGGGGCACG
rnacentral:rRNA from 1 species